AGCCACGCAGUGAGCACGGAGCGAACUGUUCUUUUGCCUUUUACUAAAGAGUACCGUGUGACGAUUUUCCAGGAGGUUUUAAUUUUUGUCUUUUUAUGGCGAGUUUGGUUUUACGUGAAUG